rnacentral:rRNA from 1 species
AGUGAACGCUGGCGGUAGGCCUAACACAUGCAAGUCGAACGGCAGCACAGUAAGAGCUUGCUCUUACGGGUGGCGAGUGGCGGACGGGUGAGGAAUACAUCGGAAUCUACUUUUUCGUGGGGGAUAACGUAGGGAAACUUACGCUAAUACCGCAUACGACCUACGGGUGAAAGCAGGGGAUCUUCGGACCUUGCGCGAUUGAAUGGGCCGAUGUCGGAUUAGCUAGUUGGCGGGGUAAAGGCCCACCAAGGUGACGAUCCGUAGCUGGUCUGAGAGGAUGAUCAGCCACACUGGAACUGAGACACGGUCCAGACUCCUACGGGAGGCAGCAGUGGGGAAUAUUGGACAAUGGGCGCAAGCCUGAUCCAGCCAUACCGCGUGGGUGAAGAAGGCCUUCGGGUUGUAAAGCCCUUUUGUUGGGAAAGAAAAGCAGCAGGUUAAUACCCCGCUGUUCUGACGGUACCCAAAGAAUAAGCACCGGCUAACUUCGUG